GGCGACAACGGUAGCUAGCUAACCAGCUGUACAUGAUAGACAGUGUCCUUUGUCCCCGCCUGUCGGGCACUGUUUUCCCGCAGUUCUGUUAAUGACGCGAGGGCAGGUGUUUGGCAGGUAGGAGCGAAGGACCCACAUUCAAAAGUGUCACAAGUAUGAAGACAAAGACAGUACAGUAUGAAACUCUGAUGAAAUGUUCAGCUCGAGAUGGGGGGCGUUCAUGCUGUAACCAAUGGGAUGCUCGAGGGGGGGUGUUCAUGAAGGAACCAAUAGGAACGCCCCGAAUGCAGGCUGCAGUAGCACACUGACGGCGGGCAAAACUCCGUGAAAAUGACAAACAGUGUAAUGAAAUACGUCACGAUGUAAUCAGUGCCAGCAAAACGUUGCAUGGAUGAGGUAAUGCUGCGGAGGAGAUACUUGGAGUGGUCGGAGACACGAUCUCCGAGUACCAGGAAGAAAUAGCCCGGACAAAGAGAGAGAACCAAUACCUGAAACGACACUUGAUCACACCAGUCCUACCGGCUCCUCAGCCCAUUCUCUCUUGGGUCUCAGAGCAGCAAACUCCCCCUGAGCAACAGCGCUGUGAGCAGGAGUGGAGCCCCAGUCUGGGGCAGAGGGACCCAGAGCCCACACAGAUUAAAGAGGAACAGGGUGAACUCAGGACCCGUCAGGAGGUAGAGCAGAUUCAAGGGCCGGAGGCUGAUACCAAAGAAGACUCCAUAAUCAUUCCUCCCUGUGUGAAAAGUGACUGUGAUCAGGAGCCACCUCACCCCACACAUCUUCCCCAAACUGUGGAGAACAGAGAGAGAGACUCUCUACUGACCAACACAACUGGACAGAUCAAAACAGAACCUGAUGGAGAGGGCUAUGGAGUAUCACUAUCAGAACCAACCAGUGACUCCCCUCAGUCUCAGCCCCUCUCUGCAGUAAAUCCAGCCUGUUCUAGAACACAGAGUGAGAACACUGAAAGUGUACCUGAUGUUCAGAGAGAUCCAGAAAGGAGACCAGAGGAGGACACCCAGACACACUCAUGUACUCAGUGUGGAGCCGUGUUCUGUGAGCUUUCCCAACUGAAGGCACACAUGCUAUCCCAUACAGUACCACACAGUGGUGACACUAGUCACAGGCAAAUCCUCUGCACAGUCUGUUGGAAGUCAUUCACCUCUACCAGUUACCUCAAGGUCCACAUGUGUUCUCACAAUAAGGAGAAGCCCUUCCACUGUGGUGUGUGUGGCAAGAGUUUCAGCUACUCAGGGAGGUUCAGGGAGCACCAACGCAUUCACACGGGAGAGAGACCAUACCGCUGCCACGUGUGUGCUAAACGCUUCAACCGGUCUGCCCAUCUGAAGACCCACCUGAGGGUCCACACAGGGGAGAAACCCUACUCCUGUCCUGUCUGUGGGAAAGGAUUCAGUCAGUCCAGCCAUAUCAAGGGACACCUCAGAACUCACACCCGAGGGAGGUAGAAGAAAGAUGCCUUUUUUUAUUAGGAUCGCCAUUUGCCGACGCCAAUGGCGACAGCUAGUCUUACUGGGGUCCGACACAUCACGAAAAAGACAUUACAGACAAAAGACUUUACACUUAAACAUUAACAUGUAGUAUGUGUGUGUGCACUCAGUUCCACAUACAUGUCAGUACAUACAUGCAACAAGUAGGUCACAUGGGGGAGAGGCGUUGUGCCGUGAGGUGUUGCUUUAUUUAUUUUUUGAAACCAGGUUUGCUGUUCACUUGGCCUAUAUAAGAUGGGAGUUCCAUGCAAUCAUGGCUCUGUAUAAUACUGUAAGUUUCCUUGAAUUUGUUCUGGACCUGGGAACUGUGAAAAUAUGUCUGGUGGGGUAAGUGCUGUGUGUAAGUUGAUUAUGCUUUAUAAAAACGAGAAGCGAUGCAGUCAGUCUUUCCUCAACACUUAGCCAAGAGAGACUAGCAUGCAUAUUAUUGCUUAGGGGAUGACGGUGUCAAAAAGCAGAGCAUCUUUUUAUUACGGAGAGACCUCUCCCCAUCUUUACAACCAUUGAAUCAAAAUGUUUUGACCAUGACAAUUUACAAUAUUAAGAUAACACCAAAUCAUUUAGUCUGCUGAACAGCCAAACCAUUCAUUACCAGAUUCAGCUGAGGUCUAGAACAUACGGAAUGAUUUGUACCAAAUACAAUGCUCUUAGUUUUUGAUAUUUUCAGGACCAGUUUAUUACUGGCCUCCCAUUCUAAAACUGACCAACUCUUUGUUUAGGGUUGCAGUGAUUUCACUAGCUGUGGUUGCUGGCCCGUGUAGGGUUGAAUCAUCAGCAGACAUGGACACAGGCUUUGUUUAUUGACAGUGGCAGGUCAGCUUUCCAUCUAAGUUGUCAAUGCCAGGAGGUUUGUCAUUAUUGAUAACAAUUGUUCUGCCUCUUCCACACUAAUUUUACAAAAUUCAAACUUACAAUGCUUUUCUGUCAUUCUUUUCUUUCAACUGUUCGUGGUUGGCAUUUACUGCCUAGGUUUGCCCACUUUGCCAAUGUAGUAAUUAUUAAAAUAAUUGGCAACAUUAAAUGGUUUUGUGUUGAAUAAGCCAUCUGAUUUUAUGGAAGAUGGAGUUGAAUGUCUUCCUGCCCAUAAUUUAAUUUAAAGUACUCAAGUUAUUUUCCAUCAUUGACCUUGUUUUCAUAAGUUUCUUUUAAGUUUAGUCACAUAAUUUCUCAAAUCUCAAUAAGAGAUGUGCAGCCAGACUUAUUAACCACUCCUUUUGCCCCAUCUCUUUCAACCAUCGUUCUUCAAUUCCUCAUUAAAUCCUUAACAGUUCUAUCAGUCUGUUUCUUAACAGGUGCAUGUUUAUCAAUAAUUGGAAGAAGCAAUGUCAUAAAUUCAUCAAGUGCAGCAUCUGGAUGCUUCUUAUUAAUCACAUCAGACCAAAUAUGUUUUACUUCUACAUAAGUCACAGCUAAAUAUUUUGUAUGAUCUCUUAUACACUAUUUUAGGAACAGCUUUUGGAAUCUUGUCUUUCCUGGAUAUAGCCACUAUAUUGAGAUCACUGCAUUCAAUGGGUACGGAUACAGUUUUAGAACAAAGUUCUACAGUAUUAGUAAAAAAUGUGAUAACUACAUGUGGAUUAUAUAAACUCAUCAAAAAAAAGAAACAUCCUCUCACCGUCAACUGUUUAUUUUCAGCAAACUUAACGUGUAAAUAUUUGUAUGAACAUAACAAGAUUCAACAACUGAGACAGGAACUGAACGAGUUCUACCGACAUGUGACUAACAGAAAUGUAAUAAUGUGUCCCUGAACAAAGGGGGGGGGGGG